rnacentral:pre_miRNA from 1 species
AGUUUUGCAUGGUUGCGCUGCAAGAAGAAAUAAGUUGUGCAAAUCUAUGCAAAACUGA